rnacentral:ncRNA from 1 species
ACUGUGGAGAGCAAAAAGAAUACGAGUAGAUAAUUUUUUUUAUCAAAAGUAUGUUCGAUGAAGCAGUAA